UGGGGAAUAUUGGACAAUGGGGGCAACCCUGAUCCAGCCAUGCCGCGUGAGUGAUGAAGGCCUUCGGGUUGUAAAGCUCUUUUGGCGGGGACGAUGAUGACGGUACCCGCAGAAUAAGCCCCGGCUAACUUCGUGCCAGCAGCCGCGGUAAGACGAAGGGGGCUAGCGUUGUUCGGAAUUACUGGGCGUAAAGCGAGUGUAGGCGGUUGCCGUAGUCAGGUGUGAAAGCCUUGAGCUCAACUCAAGAAAUGCACUUGAUACUGGGUGACUAGAGGACCGGAGAGGAUAGUGGAAUUCCCAGUGUAGUGGUGAAAUACGUAGAGAUUGGGAAGAACACCAGUGGCGAAGGCGGCUAUCUGGACGGUUACUGACGCUCAGGUGCGAAAGCGUGGGGAGCAAACAGGAUUAGAUACCCUGGUAGUCCACGCUGUAAACGAUGUCGAUUUUGGAGGUUGUGCCCUUGAGGCGUGGCUUCCGGAGCUAACGCGUUAAAUCGACCGCCUGGGGAGUACGGCCNCAAGGUUAAAACU
rnacentral:rRNA from 1 species